rnacentral:rRNA from 1 species
AUUGAACGCUGGCGGCAUGCCUUACACAUGCAAGUCGAACGGUAGAGUAGCAAUACUCGAGAGUGGCGAACGGGUGAGUAAUAUAUCGGAACGUGCCCAGUCGUGGGGGAUAACGUAGAGAAAUUUACGCUAAUACCGCAUACGAUCUACGGAUGAAAGCGGGGGAUCGCAAGACCUCGCGCGAUUGGAGCGGCUGAUAU